GGCGGACGGGUGAGUAAUACAUCGGAACGUGCCCGAGAGUGGGGGAUAACGAGGCGAAAGCUUUGCUAAUACCGCAUACGAUCUCAGGAUGAAAGCAGGGGACCGCAAGGCCUUGCGCUCACGGAGCGGCCGAUGGCAGAUUAGGUAGUUGGUGGGAUAAAAGCUUACCAAGCCGACGAUCUGUAGCUGGUCUGAGAGGACGACCAGCCACGCUGGGACUGAGACACGGCCCAGACUCCUACGGGAGGCAGCAGUGGGGAAUUUUGGACAGUGGGCGCAAGCCUGAUCCAGCCAUGCCGCGUGCAGGAUGAAGGCCUUCGGGUUGUAAACUGCUUUUGUACGGAACGAAAAGACUCUGGUUAAUACCUGGGGUCCAUGACGGUACCGUAAGAAUAAGCACCGGCUAACUACGUGCCAGCAGCCGCGGUAAUACGUAGGGUGCGAGCGUUAAUCGGAAUUACUGGGCGUAAAGCGUGCGCAGGCGGUUAUGUAAGACAGAUGUGAAACCCCCGGGCUCAACCUGGGAACUGCAUUUGUGACUGCAUAGCUAGAGUACGGCAGAGGGGGAUGGGAAUUCCGCGUGUAGCAGUGAAAUGCGUAGAUAUGNGGAGUGANCAACGAAUGGGCGGAAGGGCNAAUCCCCUGGGCCUGUACUUGACGCUCAUGCACGAAAGCGUGGGGAGCAAACAGGAUUAGAUACCCNUGGUAGUCCACGCCCUAAACGAUGUCAACUGGUUNGUUGGGUCUUCACUGNACUCAGUAACGAAGCUAACGCGNUGAAGUUGACCNGCCUNGGGGANGUACGGNCCGCAAGGUUGAAANCUCAAAGGAAUUNGACGGGGACCCGCACAAGCGGNUGGANUGNAUGUGGUUUAAUUCGAUGCNAACGNCGAAAAACCUUACCCNACCNUUUGNACAUGNUACGGNAAUCCUUUAGAGANUAGAGNGAGUGNCUCGAAAGAGAGCCGUAACACAGGUGCUGCAUGGNCUGUCGUCAGCUCGUGUCGUGAGAUGUUGNGGUUAAGUCCCGNCAACGAGCGCAACCCUUGCCAUUAGUUGCNUACGAAAGGGCACUCUANAUGGNGACNUGCCGGUGACAAACCGGAGGAAGGUGGGGAUGACGUCAAGUCCUCAUGGCCCUUAUAGGUGGGGCUACACACGUCAUACAAUGGCUGGUACAGAGGGUUGCCAACCCGCGA
rnacentral:rRNA from 1 species